CAACAAUCAAAUGGGAAAAGAAUCAUUUGUCGUUGUUCAUCAAAAUCAUCUCUAAUUAAUCGUAAAAAGCAAAGUACAAAUCGAUAGAAAACAUACCUGAGGAGAGAAUAACAUCAGAAUAUGUUACACUUGUAAAAUAUCAACAAAAUUACUCACACACUUGCUUUGCCUCUAAGUUCCAUACCAGAUCACCUAAUCCACAUGUACUUGACGAUAAUCCACAUGUAAUUGAUGAUAAUCUUCUCAGUUACACAAAUUUGUCUGGGCGGGUUUUUGUUUGGAUCCAAUUACACAAAUACUGAUUGUAAAAAGAAAAUAACAAUUUCAUGAGAUUGAGCCCAAACUUUUGAGAAGACCCAAAGCUCAAAAUCAGCCAUCUCUAUUAAAUUUAGUCCCCUUCUUAACCAUCUUUACGGCCAUCCAACGCCGACAAUUUCUCCUCCAGAGAUCCCAUCUCCGUAGCGAAGCCUUCACCGUUUGUAACAUCCAUUUGCGAAUGUUAUCCUCUCUCCCAUCCAAAGCACUCGUACUUGGUGCCGAAACAAUCACCGUCCUACGAAAAACCCCUCACAAAUCUCACUAUUUAGAGAUUAUAUCUCAGUCCAACAAAGAUAGUGCAGGAAUAUGAGCAUGGAAGGCGGGUCGGAUUCGUGGCUGCUUGGCAUCUGUAUUAGGGAUGAAUUGAUUGAAUGGACUACCGAAAUAUCGAGGAUGAAGUUAUUUUAAGUCUAUAAUUUAUGUAUUUAUUUUCCACAUAUAGGUUUGGACAAUUAAUUUAAGAUUAUGUUUUCUUUAUGUUUUUAUGUAUUAAAUAAUGGGAUCCCAUACCGUAUUUUUAAUUUUUCUAAUAAUGUUAUAUUAUUUUAUGUAUGUAUUCCAAAAUAAUAGUUAUGCUUA